GCCUCACUCGAGCAGACCCCGCCCUCCCAGAGGCCGUUUGUCCAAGUCACGUGAUCGUCGAAUCUGUUGACCUGGCGCCACCGGAAAAAGAAAUUCCCGGGCCCUGGCUUCUUGGCCUGAUGGCACUGCUAGCCUUGAAGCCUCCAGCCUGCUGGAUGCCUCCAUCCCCGGCUAUGCUGUGGCUCUCCUCAUUCUAGGCCUCCUGCUCGUCACAUUCACCCUUGUCCUGGUGCUAAAGUGGAGGGCCUCCCAUGGGGUGUUCAGCCUGGGUGUGUAGAAGCACACAGUGUGGUACAGAGGACCCUCUCCAGACAGGCCCCACCUACCCCUCGCCUGUUCCCAGCUGCCUCCCACCAACCCUAGAAAUGAUGCUGGGAGCUGACAGAAACUGAACUUAGGAGCACAGGAGGCCAGGAGACCUGGGACAGAGAACAGGAGGUGACCCCUCAUGCUGCUGCUCCCUCUGCUGAAACCCAAACUGCAAACCUCUCCUCUCCCUGCCUUCACCUUGCCCCACGGCUUCCACAGACAGUGCCUCAACCCCGAGGAAUGAAUCCGAAGUUCCAACACCACUGACUUUCCCAGGAACUCAGAGCCAGAGAGGGCCAAGGACCAGCUCGAGGACACACAGCCAGGGCUUCUUCCCUCCGAAACCCCCAAGGACUGGACUUGCAGGGCUGGGACAGAGGUGGGGUGGGGGAAAGCAAUGCCUUGUCAACCCACGUGGGGAGCCCCACUCCCAUCCCCAAGGUGCAUAAAGUUGAGGAACACCCCUGCUCCCACGUCCAUGCUCAUUCAGGGCCCUGCUCCAAGU
rnacentral:lncRNA from 1 species